UCUUAUUUAUCGUUUAGACGCUGUGUGGAUGGAACGUUAUGAGCGAGAGAAAAGUUUGACAGUUCAUUCGAAUUUUGUCGAAAUCCCAGACACUGCACACCGAAAAGGCGACGUCCGAUAAUCUUUGUCAGCAUUUCACGUCGGUGUUAAGCUCUUACAUUAUUGCUUCUCACAUAGAGUGACCAUGAACGAUGGAGUCAGGCUUCGCGUUCACCCGUCAAAGGAAAUAUCAGAUGCAGUAUUUUACUCGAAGAAAAGGCAAUCGAGAACGCUUGAGACGCUGAUUGAAACGCAGCAUUUGUUGUACCUGCUGUUAUGCCUUUUGGCAGUUUCCCUGACGGUGAUUAUCUUGGAAAAGAAAUUGCCAGAACCUUUGUUGACUGACACCGAAGGCCUUUAUCCUGAAAAAUUUGUCGCUGAGAGAGCGAGAAACAAUCUAGUCAAGUUGACUAAAAUUGGCCCUCGGAUAACUGGCAGCUAUGAGAACGAGGUCACGGCUGUUGAUUUUUUGAAGACUGAAAUUCAAAACGUUGUCAAAGACGCUCAUAUCAGUCAUGAAAUUCAAGUUGACAUCACUAAACAUAGCGGUGCAUUUUCGUUAACUUUCCUAGAUGGGAUGACCAAUGUUUAUAGAAAUGUUCAAAAUGUUAUUGUUAAAGUUGGCUCGAGAAUCAAUUCGAAACACAGCUUGUUGGUUAACUGUCAUUUUGAUACUUUUCCCGAGAGCCCUGGUGGUUCAGAUGACGGUGCUGGAUGUGCUGUAAUGUUGGAGAUGUUGAGAAUAAUAGCUCAAAGUCCAAAGAUAUUAAAGCACAAUAUUAUAUUUCUAUUUAACGGUGCUGAAGAAAAUUUGAUGCAGGCAUCUCAUGGUUUUAUAACGCAGCACAAAUGGGCAAACGAAGUAAAGUCUUUCAUAAAUUUAGAAGCCUGUGGAGCAGGCGGACGUGAAUUAUUGUUUCAAGCUGGUCCUGACAAUCCUUGGAUUUUGGAAGUUUACGCUGAGUCUGUCCCAUAUCCAUACGCUUCAUCAUUAGCACAAGAAAUAUUUCAGAGCGGAGUCAUCCCUGGAGAUACUGAUUUCCGGAUAUUUCGAGACUUUGGAAAAGUUUCUGGUCUUGAUUUUGCGUGGUCAACUAAUGGGUAUGUCUAUCAUACAAGGUUUGAUAACGUAGAUCAAGUGCCACUAGGUUCCCUGCAAAGAACUGGAGACAACAUCUUGGCAUUAGUGCGUGGAAUAACGGCUGGUCACUAUCUUUCUGACAUAGUAAUGAAUCAUCAAAAAGGAAGUCUAGUAUUCUUCGAUUUCUUGGGUGCAUUUGUAGUUAGAUGGCCAGAGUAUCUAGCAAGUACUAUUAAUAUCGCUGGUAUUUUGACUGGACUUUACUCCAUUUACGUCAACAUGGAAACUGCUCGUAAAUUGGAUCUGAGGCAUUCAGUCUACAUUAAACAAUUGGCACUGUCUGUGUUGGCUGUGAUUGGUUCCUAUAUAUUCUCAAUGAUCUCUGUAACAAUGGUGGCGGUCUUUCUGACUCACCUUGGAAAAGUCAUGAGCUGGUAUGCCAGACCGGCAUGGUUAUUUUUUCUGUACAUUUGUCCGACCAUAUUCUCAUCCCUGGCGUUCUUUUUAGCUGUUGGUAAUCAUCAAAAAAAGGAAAAUAUCACUCCAUGGAUGCUUUAUUACUUGUAUUUCGAUGCGUAUAACUUACUAUGGAUUACAGUUUUGUCUACCUGUGUUAUACUGCGACUCAGAUCUGGAUUUAUACCUUUACAUUGGGUGAUAUUUCCUUCUAUAGGCAAUAUAGUAAGAGAGAAAUUUUUCAAGAGAUGGAGAGAUGGAAAAUGGUUGCUGUACCACAUGGGUGUGAUUAGUUUGCCUUACAUACAGUCGUUUUACUUGACACUAGGCGCGCUCUACCUUUUUAUUCCAAUUAUGGGUCGAUCUGGUGCUGGUAUUAACUCCGAAAUCGCUAUUGCGAAUAUGAUAUCGUUUAUAUUCUGUCUCCUCCUGAGUUUUACUCUACCCAUAGUAUUCGUGGUGAAAAAUGCAGGCAGAGUAAUCAGCAUUAUGAUUGGGAUAUUCUUAAUAGCGGUUAGUAUACUAAUUCUGACGCCAUUAGGCUUUCCGUACAGUGGUGAUCCACUAUCCCCAGCACCAGCUCGAUUCAUGAUUGCACACACGCACAGACAAUACUAUAAUGAAAACGGUACGGUUCGGCAUUCUGGUACUGGAUAUUGGUUGGUAGAUUUGGAUAUGAACAGUCCACACAACGUGGAAACCAUUGUACCGGAAGUAGCCACUGCAGGUUCGACUCUAAGAGAUUGCGAAAAAGAGUUGUACUGUGGACUACCAUACCUCAUGCCCGUCACAACGUUUUUAUGGAAAACGAGUUGGAUUCCAGGUCCUGCGCCAUUGAUAAAAAUACCCACCAGGCUGGAAAGAAUUUCGAAAAUAACCAAAGGGAACCUUAUCAGUUUCAGAUUCAACGUUACAGGACCUGAUCAUAUUGGCAUCAUCUUAUCACCGUACGAAGGUGUGCGUCUGAUAAAAUGGAGCGUGUUGGACGAUCCGCCUUUGGAAGGACCGCUUUGGAAUAAUAGACAUACGUACUUUAUUUAUUAUGCUUGCGCAGCUGAUUGCGAGCCUUACAGUUUCAGCGUCGAUUUAGAAAUACCGCAUGGUCAUAAAGGGCCUUCGUUGAGUAUUGCAUUAGCAGGCCACUUUCUGCACGGUGAAAACCAAAAAUCUUUAAGGUUCAAGACUUUCCUAUCCCAAUUUCCGUCUUGGACCGCAGUUAUUCCUUGGACUGCUACUUACACCUCUUGGAUAUAUUAGGGGUGAGCUGGGAUUAAGAUUACUAUGUUGUGAUUACAUGGGGUCGAUUCUAAUUCUAUAUAAAACUAUUUUAUAACGCAAUCAAAAGACAUUUUUUUUUUCAUUACAACCCAUGUAUUACUGCAGUGAAUUACAUGUUAAAGAAAUUUGCAGUCUACGGCUAAUGUAAGAAUUGAAAACGCCUUAUGACAGGAAUAAGACGUAUUCGAAUUAUAGCAAAAUACAUACAAAACGUCUAUUAUUAAUAAAUUAGGUAAAUGAAUUCUCGCUCUGGUACUUAGUUUUUUCUUCAAUGUAAUCAUCUUUAAUUCGUAUGCAACAUACAGGUAUUGGAUAUAUGAGUAUUGUAUCUAAAUAAACUUUUUAGGUUUAGAUUAUCGAAUGCUUAUAAUUAAGCACAGCACAAAUUCAUACACAUAUGAAUCUAUUUAUUGAUGACAAAUUUCUGUCUUGUCCGCAGCUAGUAAUCUGCACCUUGUGUUAGCUAUUAUUACAUGAUAUUUCAGUUUCAGCACACGAAAAUCUCGCGCUCUCCCAAUCGCAAAGAUACGUGAAAAAUCUGCUUUAUGAUAGGAAAAAGUCGUAGUAGUAGCCUACCAGGCUACCUGAUUUCCAAUAUGGUACUAUAUACAGGCUUUAAUGACGAAGAAGAGAACGAACGAGAAAUACAUAAUGUACAAAUAUUAUAUAUGUAUACACAUAAACGUAGGGUAGAAAUAUGUUAAGUAGUUGGUAACGGAUGAUUUUUUAAAGGUGAACAAAAUUCACCGCCAUUAUGACUAAUAAUAACUAACCGAAUUGAUUCAAGAAACAAUUUAAAUCAAACGCGUCACGUAUUGUGGGUUUCUUUGACAAUUUCUCCCUUGUUUCGAUCUUCUGUGAUUACUUUUUCUGUUAUAGAUGAUAAGUAACGUAAAAGAGGAUUAAUGAUAAAGUGCCAUUAGAUAAAAUGUAGGCUAAAUAUACAAAAAUGAUAAAAUAGCACAUAAAACUCGUUGCCACGUGCAGCCGCUGACACUUCGGCACGUGUGUAAACUGAAUAAUUUCUCUUGACAAGAUAACAAGAUAAUGUUAUUCUGGAACUCGAAAGCCUAGAGCAUAUCAACGAAAGCCAAAAUAUCAUGAACAUAAUAUUUAAAGUUGUCAUUUGACAAUUUAUAUAAUGCCAAUUUUAUACGUUUAAGUAAAAUAAUAAUUAACUAGUAUGUACCGAUGAUGCCCCUGCAUUCGAUGCUGCUCUGACAUAUAAUGUUUAUUCAUGAAAGUGAUAGAAAAAAAUCGGUCUUGACAAAAUUUUUUACAGAAACCGAUGCCAUAUGUAUAACAUGUAAUAGCUAUAGCUUUCAAAGGAGAAAUUUGCAGGAAAUGAAAUCUUAACAACUUCUAUCACGCUCUCGAAAGGCUUAUUGGACGAAACAAUGAUGAAAUCUAUCCAAUUCAUCAAAUGUAUUUAAAGCGUUUAUUGUUAUUGAAUUAAUUUUCUAAGUCAUAUUCAAUAAAAUAAUAAAUAUAAAUAUUCAUAAUAUAUAAACGGUUACUGAAUUAACUAAGAUUUGAAAUCUUAAAUUAUAUCGCUAACUGGUUCGACUUUUAAAAAAGAUUUUCGUAGGAACGAUAAUACUGUUAGCAGAUUUAUAAAAAUUUAGAAACAAUAAUUAUAUAAUAACAAUGAUGACGAUAAUAACAACAAUAAUAAUAAUGAUAGUUUGAACUAGACGAAUAAUAUUUAAACGUUGGAUGCCUUUUAGAUGUAGAAACACGUAAUUUGCGUAUCGCAGUACUUAUUACUAGACCAGUUGCCAGCAUGGAUUUCAAAACAAGAAUGCGACUUAUCAAAUUGCGUAUAACACUAACUGAUUAUCAUUAUAUGACAGUUAUUUAUAUCAUAGUAUCUUGAUAUAAAGCAUAAUAUAAUGUAUAGUCAAAAAUACGGCUAAAGAAUAUUUUAACAUCCACAUAAAAUUCGCCGCUUAACGCCUUUAAGUAAUAAAAAUAAUUUUUCCAAAAGAGGAGAAUAAUCCAUGUAAAGAAAAUAAUUAUAAUAACUUUCUACGAUAAUUCUAACCGAUUUCUCAUCAUACUUUAUACUUAUAUUACAAUGCUGGGAGUAGGCUUUCGAAGAUUGCUGUUUAUUGUUUAAAGAAAAGUCCUUUUACUAAUUUCUGCAGCCCAAAAAAGAAUUGUUCACAUUACACAGCUCUCCGUUUCACUGCUUUCGCUUCUUCAUUGCCUUUUCGUCUCUUGAUCUCUUACCUAUGGACACGGUCGUACCAUUUCCCUCCUUUUACCAUGUAGCUGCGGCAGCUGCUAUAGUAUGUUACGGUGUUUAUCAUAUCUCGUUAAAUAUCAUACCAAUCCGUCAAUUCAAAUCAAAGUUUAUUCUUAGUAAUAAUCAUUGUUAUUGUUUAUAAAACAGGGAUUUAAUUUAUGUUGCGUAACGCUUUUAUACCUAUUUAAUUUUCGAUCCAUCUCGAUCACAACGGUUCAUGAUUUACCAUACUUGUGAUUUAUGUAUUCUUCAUCGUUUUAUAGUCUAUUCUAGUUCAAAUUCAUAUACUUACGUCGAGAUUCAGUACGGACAACGAUUUUUAUUUUUAAUUUACAGAGGUACGCUUAAUUUGUAGUGCGGUAGAACUUCUACAUACAUGUGUUCUCUGUAGCAUAAAGCAGGGAUUUGCCGCAAGUUCAAAGAACGCCGGCCACAAAGUCGAUCGAUCGAUUAACGCUAAUGAUUUAUUAAGAUUUAAUCCUUAUUGUUAUUAGUACUAUCAGAGUACAUGUGUUUGUAUUUGUAUCGUGAUGCGUGCCAAGCAUCGUCUUUGUGGCGCCUGCUCUCGACGUUCGAUUCCUUUUGUUAUUCUAAUCAAUCAGCGUGUAUGUAUAUUAUUAGACAUCAGUCUAGUAAGAUUAUAACGAUACAUAUAAUUGAUAAUAUAUGUAAUGAUUGUUAUCUCGGAAAAACUUGUUGAUAACUCAUUUUAAUAAAUGAAAUACUUUUACGGCGUUCUUCAGUAUAUAAAUUU